rnacentral:lncRNA from 1 species
AGUUGAUAAGCUGCACAUGUGAGGUCAGGUUGUGUUCUUCACUUCAUGAUGGAAGGGCUACUGACCCAGAGUGGAAAGUUUAGCUGGGGAAGACUUCUGGAGGAUUGGAUGUACCAGACUAGAGACUUCUUGCGAAGAAAAGCGAAAUUAGGAUGCCCCUAUGUAACUGCAGACCCAGAAGAGAUCUCAGAAGGCUGCUCUGUCCAUCUGUCUCCAUCAGGGGAUAUCCGGUACAAGAAGCGACUGUUCCUGAAUGAUCCACAAAAAAGAUGGGCUGAACUGCAAUAUUGGCAAUAUCUGAAGGAAAGGGGGAAGAUGAAGCCAGAAAGACAUUUUACAAGAAAUAACAACUCCCAUUCUUGCCUGAGGGUCUCACCUUGGCUGGGGCGAGGCAAAUGUAAGCAUGAAGCUUUCCUCCCAUCCUCCCUGCUGCAACCUUCUUAGCAGAAAAAAGCAAGCAUACACAACAGAGGCCAGCCAUCUUGGAAGCGUUUCCCAAUACCUGCUCCCUCCUGCUUUUGCUUUUUAGACCACUGUGAAACAAAAAUAAUGGGAAUAUUUUGUUUAAAAAAGAACAAAACCAAAAAGAGGACAGCUGUUUGGUCAAAAAGCCACUGUUUUGUUAUGUAGUUUAUAUUGUGAUACUUUUGAAGCUGAUUUUAACUGUAAACUUGGCCACGUGGUGAUGGCUGUAAAGUAGUGAGUUUGCUCAUUGCACUUUAGGUAAGCAAAUAAUGCAGGCUUUAAUUGCAGUUGACUGUUGGUUUAGGAAACAGAGGAGAACUGGAUUUUCAGUGAUGAUGGAAGAAAAGCUGAGGAUCUAGAUGUAGGAAUAAAUAUUUACUAAAAUAGACAAGGAAGCAGUCAGUCUUCAAACUUGUCACUGAGAACUGCAGAUAGACUACAGAAACAAAGCAGUAAGUAAGAACUAACUUUGUAUGCCCUUUUAUUAUGAUACAUCCCAGGCAGAAUUUAUUCUUCCAGUGGUGUGUAUCCAGCCAAUUUCACUACCUCCUUCUCUUGUUAAAAUGAAAGAAAAAUAACUUUAUCUGAGAAAAAAAAAAAAAAAGGGGGGGGGGGGGAAGCCAACCAUUAAGAUAUUAUGCUAUUCUCUUUCUUAAGAGAUCUCCUGUCACAGUGAUAGGUAUCUUAGAAAAGAAAUUGAUGUAUCUUCCUUUCUUCUUUGUGUGUUCUUGGUAUCACAAGCUGUGCACAGCAUGCUUUCAAUUAAUUUAAACUAACUUUCCAUCUGCUCCAACAAAUGUAGGAUUUGAGUGAAAGACAGUAUGAUGGAGUGCCAUGAAAUGCACUAAUAGCAAACACUAAUGUGAAAGCCAGUCUUCUGUGGAAAAUGUAAUAUCCAUAGUGCACUCCUUCUAGUCUAUAUUAAAGGCUCACUUU